rnacentral:ncRNA from 1 species
GUCUUUGGGGCGGGGUGGAAGUCCCCACCGGCGGUAUAGCCCGCGAGCCUUUUGGCAGAUUCGGUGUGAUUCCGAAGCCGACAGUAUAGUCUGGAUGGGAAAAGAC